rnacentral:rRNA from 1 species
GACGAACGCUGGCGGCGUGCUUAACACAUGCAAGUCGAACGGGCCCGCUCUCUUUUUUGGGGGUGGGUUGAGUGGCGAACGGGUGAGUAUUACGUGAGUAACCUGCCCCCUGCUCCUGGAUAACUGCUUGAAAGGGCGGCUAAUACGGGGUGUGCCGGCUGGUCCGCAUGGGCCUGGUCGGGAUAGUUUCAUCUUCGGGUGUUUCGGUGGGGGAUGGGCUCGCGGCCUAUCAGCUUGUUGGUGGGGUGAUGGCCCACCAAGGCGGUGACGGGUAGCCGGCCUGAGAGGGUGGGCGGCCACACUGGGACUGAGACACGGCCCAGACUCCUGCGGGAGGCAGCAGUGGGGGGUAUUGCACAAUGGGCGGAAGCCGGAUGCAGCGACGUCGCGUGAGGGAUGGAGGCCUUCGGGUUGUGAACCUCUUUCUCCGGUGGUGAAGGCCCUGUCCGUUGCGGCGGGGUUGACGGUAGCCGGGUAUGAAGCGCCGGCUAACUACGUG